ensembl:lncRNA
GUGAGAGAGGUGAAGCAGGUGAAUGGGCCCUUGGUGUGAGCACCCACAGUGUGCACCCACUGUUCCCGCACAAGGUUGCAAAAUUGGAGCACCCAACACUAUCUACACCCAUAUUCCCACACAUUUCACCCUCUGUCUUGCGGGAACCAAGCUUGGGGACCUGACACUAUAGAAAAGCUCUGUCAGCGUGGUUCCAUACCACAACUGAUCAAGAUGGCAAAGCGAUUCUCUGUUCAGACUGCCCUACAGUUGAUAUUUGAAGAGACAGAGGGUUUUGAUGGUGAUGCAGAGGAAAUAGUUUCGGAAAAGGAGGAUGAGCAUCAGCCAGCUCCGAAACGUAAAAGAGCCUCAGGACUAGCCCUUCAGCAGGCAGGACCAGCCCGCAAGCAGCCAGCCCCAGGACCAUCCCGCGAGCAGCCAGGACCAGCCCGCAAGCAGCCAGCCCCAGGACCAGCCCGCGAGCAGCCAACCCCAGGACCAGCCCGCGAGCAGCCAGCCCCAGGACCAACCCGCAAGCAGCCAGCCCCAGGACCAUCCCGUGAGCAGUCAGGACCAACCCGCAAGCAGCCAGCCCCAGGACCAACCCGCAAGCAGCCAGCCCCAGGAACAACCCGCAAGCAGCCAGCCCCAGGAACAACCCGCAAGCAGCCAGCCCCAGGAACAACCCGCAAGCAGCCAGAUGUAGGACCAGCCCGUCAGCCAAAAAGAAACGCUGUGAAGUGUGUGGACCCAUGAUGGACAGAAAAACACAAUAUACAUGGAACCAGUGCAAAAAAUACAUAUGCAAUACACACACAGUGAGACUCUGCCCCUCAUGUGUGGUAUAGUCUGAUAUA